GACAGAGGUGCCGAGCGUUAGGCGGAAUCACUGGGCUUAAAGCGUGUGUAGGCGGGCCGUUAAGUGUCUUGUGAAAUCCCCCGGCUCAACCGGGGAAUUGCUGGGCAUACUGGCGGUCUUGAGCAAUCUAGGGGCAGAUGGAACAAGUGGUGGAGCGGUGAAAUGCGUAGAUAUCUGGAAGAACACCAAUGGCGAAGGCAAUGUUCUGGCUCGUUUGUGACGCUCAGGUGCGAAAGCCAGGGGAGCGAACGGG
rnacentral:rRNA from 1 species